UGAAUGUUGAUGACGUUGAAUAUCAACGUCAUAAACAUGUAAGUUGAAUGUUUAUGACGUUGAUAUUCAACGUCAUAAACAUCUA